UAACGUACCCCGUGCUUCAGGAUAACGUCUAGGUGCUUGCACCUUUCCGAAAGGGGCGGUAAUACUGAAUAACAUCGUGGAUCGAUGGGUCUGCGAUCAAAGAUUUAUCGGCGUGGGAGCUGGCUAAUUCCUAUCAGCUUGUUGGUGAGGUAAUGGCUCACCAAGGCAAUGACGGGUAGCGGGACUGAGAGGUUGGCCCGCAACAUCGGGACUGAGAUACUGCCCGGACCUCCACGGAGGGCUGCAGUAAACGAAUAUUGGGCAAUGGGCGAAAGCCUGACCCAGCGACGCCGCGUGCGGGAGGAAGUCCUUCGGGAUGUAAACCGCUGUCAGGGUAAAGAAAGUAUGCUUCGGCAUAUUGAUCUACCCCAGAGGAAGUCACGGCUAACUUCGUGCCAGCAGCCGCGGUAAGACGAAGGUGGCAAGCGUUGUUCGGUAUUACUGGGCUUAAAGCGUGUGUAGGCGGAAACUUAAGCGUUUUGUGAAAUCCCUCGGCUUAACCGAGGAAUUGCUUGACGAACUGGGUUUCUUGAGGCAAGUAGGGGUGCGCAGAACUCUUGGUGGAGCGGUGGAAUGCGUAGAUAUCAAGAGGAAUGCCGGUGGAGAAGUCGGCGCACUGGGCUUGUCCUGACGCUGAGACACGAAAGCGUGGGGAGCGAACGGGAUUAGAUACCCCGGUAGUCCACGCUGUAAACGAUGCCUACUAGGUUGUGGUGGUUCUGACGCCAGCACAGCCGAAGCCAAAGUGUUAAGUAGGCCCGCCUGGGGAGUACGGUCGCAAGGCUAAANCUCAAAGGAAUUGACGGGGGCUCACACAAGCGGUGGAGCAUGUGGAUUAAUUCGAAGCAACGCGCAGAACCUUACCUGGGUUUGACAUGCAUGGAUGCCCAUCUGGAAACAGAGUAGGCUGCCUUCGGGUGAAACUUGCACAGGUGCUGCAUGGCUGUCGUCAGCUCGUGUCGUGAGAUGUCGGGUUAAGUCCUUUAACGAGCGAAACCCUUGCCGUUAGUUGCCAGCGGGUCAUGCCGGGGACUCUAACGGGACUGCCGGUGUAACACAGGAGGAAGGUGGGGAUGACGUCAAGUCAUCAUGGCCUUUAUGCCCAGGGCCUCACACGUGCUACAAUGGUCGGGACAGAGCGACGCAAGACCGCGAGGUG
rnacentral:rRNA from 1 species